rnacentral:rRNA from 1 species
GAUGAACGCUGGCGGCGUGCCUAAUACAUGCAAGUCGAGCGAACAGACGAGGAGCUUGCUCCUCUGACGUUAUCGGCGGACGGGUGAGUAACACGUGGAUAACCUACCUAUAAGACUGGGGUAACUUCGGGAAACCGGAGCUAAUACCGGAUAAUAUAUUGAACCUCAUUGUUCAAUAGUGAAAAACGGUUUUUCUGUCACUUAUAGAUGGAUCCGCGCCGCAUUAGCUAGUUGGUAAGGUAACGGCUUACCAAGGCAACGAUGCGUAGCCGACCUGAGAGGGUGAUCGGCCACACUGGAACUGAGACACGGUCCAGACUCCUACGGGAGGCAGCAGUAGGGAAUCUUCCGCAAUGGGCGAAAGCCUGACGGAGCAACGCCGCGUGAGUGAUGAAGGUCUUCGGAUCGUAAAACUCUGUUAUUAGGGAAGAACAAAUGUGUAAGUAACUAUGCACGUCUUGACGGUACCUAAUCAGAAAGCCACGGCUAACUACGUG